GGCGGGUCUCCCCGCAUGGCUAGCCCGUGAACCUGGUCAGGUCCGGAAGGAAGCAGCCACAGCGGAUGAUGCCAGUGCCGGGGUUCAGGCUCGCCACC
rnacentral:SRP_RNA from 1 species